UAAUACGUAGGUGGCAAGCGUUGUCCGGAAUUACUGGGCGUAAAGGGCAGGUAGGCGGUCUGAUAAGUCAUCCGUUAAAGCCCCAGGCUCAACCUGGGAUCUGCAGGUGAUACUGUCAGACUAGAGUGUGCUAGAGGAGAGCGGAACUGCCAGUGUAGCGGUGGAAUGCGUAGAUAUUGGCAGGAACGCCAGUGACGAAGGUGGCUCUCUGGGGCAUGACUGACGCUGAGCUGCGAAAGCCAGGGUAGCGAACGGGAUUAGAUACCCCGGUAGUCCUGGCCGUAAACGAUGGUCACUAGGUGUUGGAGGUAUCGACCCCCCCAGUGCCGCAGUUAACGCAAUAAGUGACCCGCCUGGGGAGUACGGCCGCAAGGCUGAAACUUAAAGGAAUUGACGG
rnacentral:rRNA from 1 species